rnacentral:rRNA from 1 species
GACGUAGGGCGCGAGCGUUGUCCGGAUUUAUUGGGCGUAAAGAGCUCGUAGGCGGCUUGUCGCGUCGUACGUGAAAACCUGCAGCUCAACUGCAGGCUUGCGGGCGAUACGGGCAGGCUAGAGUUCGGUAGGGGAGACUGGAAUUCCUGGUGUAGCGGUGAAAUGCGCAGAUAUCAGGAGGAACACCCGGUGGCGAAGGCGGGUCUCUGGGACGGUACUGACGCUGGAGACGCGAAAGCGUGGGGAGCGAACAGG